UGGCUGGCAUCUUUCAAGGGUGGGGCAGCAGUUGUGAGGGAGAUGGCACCUUACCCGAGUCCUCAAAGGCCCCCCCCAGAGAACUGGGAAAGGGGAAGGGGCUCGUCCUGUUAACACGAUGAUUCAGCACAAUAGCUGCUUGAUCUGGUUGAUGUCUGGGACUCCACCUUAGUGGGAUUUCAGAGAGAUUUUGAUGUUGCCUCCUUGAUGGGGAUGCCAGAGGAGUGACCUCCUCCCCAAAGGCUCAGGAAUGGGGACUGGAAAGGGAGAGUUCAGAGGAUUUGGCUCAGUCAUCUAGUCUGUCACUUCAAAACCCCAAAUCUGGGCUGGAGAGAAGGCUCAGCUAUUGAGUGUGGUGGCUGCACUUGCAGAGACUGAGUGAAGAUCGGUUCCUAGCACCCAUACAGGGGUGUGGAGAUUGGGGAUGGCAAGCCACGAAGGCCUAUACCCCAAGGUUCAGGGGACCCUCCUUAUGCACCUACACUGGUGCACACACACCCCUCCCCCACAUACACAUAAUUAAAAAUAAAAUCUUUGAGCAGGGCGUGGUGGUGCAGCCUUCAGUUCUAACACUCAGGAGGCAGAGGCUGUGAGUUCAGAGUCAGCCUGGUCUCCAUCAGGAGUUUCAGGACAGCCAGGACUGCAUAGUGAGACCCUGUCUCAAUAAACAACCAACCAACCAACCAACAAAUGAAUGAAUGAAUAAGUAAACCUUAAAACUGCAAAGCUACUGAGAUCCACUGCCAACUGCAGGGGCACUAGCCAUAAUGCUGAUUCCCAGGCCCCACCUAGACAGACAUGUGGGCCCUUUGGCAUCAGGGGUCCAAAAGGUUGCUUUCCGUGAGCACCUGGGGGAGGUGUUACUCUCUGGCACAGAUGGGGUGUAUAUUCUCUCAGAUGUGAGGGCAAUGCUGGAGAGCCAGAUACUGCCCCCUCCCACAGGCGAGGCUCGGAGAAAACCAGGCUAAAAAGCAGUGCCGUGGAGACAGAGGGCACCCACGAAGGUGGGUGAUGCAGGCUGCCACAGGAUGACUUGCAGAGGAAGACAUUCGAUCAAUAUUUGUUGACAUGUUCAAAAACAUUGUUGGAUUAAAAGGUAUUUGAAAGAAUAAAACGGACACCAAAAGAAGUCUGUAGUUUAGAAAAUGCGAAGUUUUGAUUCACUGUUUGUGGGGUUGUUAAGACUAAUAACUGUGCUAAGCCUAAGAGAUCUUGUUUUCUUAAAGACCCAGAGUUAUGUGUUCUUAGCGCUGGGUGUUCUGGUCCAGUUACUUGUGAAAGAAACAAAGGGAAGGAACGUAUUUUACUCACUUAAUAGAAACAAAGGAUGGGGAAGGAGGGAGGAAAGAUUUGAAUAUUUAAAUUACGUCUGCACAUACCUAGGUUUGUCCAGAUGGCCUUUGCAAAGUGGGUAGGUGCCUUUCAAGGCUCUGGUGAGCCUCAGUUUACCCAAACUUAUGACUUUUUUUUAGGUGGAGUUCAUGUAGCCCAGGCUAGCCUCGACCUCACUGUAACUGAGGAUGACGUACUUCUGAUCUUUCAGCUUUCUAAAUGCUGCGAGUUUAAGAUGUGUGCCCUUGGAUCCUGUUUAUACGAUGCUAGAGACUGAACUUGGGACGUUGAGCAUGCUGGGCCACGGCUUUACCCUUUGAUCCACAUCCCCAGCCCCAUUUUUUGUUUUGUUUUGCUUUUGAGAAAGGGUCCCACUUUGCAGUCGGAGGACUUGAACUUGCCAUGUGGUCUAGGCAGACCUCAGACUGGAGAUUCUCCUGCCUCCGCGUCUGCUGAGCUGCGAUCACAGGUGUCUGCGAUCCUCGUAGGACAUUGUGACAUCUAAGAGUUCUGUGCGACACAGAAGCGUCUUCACUGUGGAUAGUUUUGCAUCUGUUUGCCUUCACUGUGGUGAAAUUACAUGAAGGGUCUGCUGUCUCGAAAAACAAUGCCUGUGAGAGAAGUCUGGGGUUUGAGUUUGAACUCUUUGAAGGAUAUCUGUGUGCGUUAAACCCUAGUUAACAUCCCACUUAGCUUGCAUAGAAACUAAAGCAAUAGCGAGGGAGAGAAAAGCAAAGGCAAUUGAUGGGCUCUGACUGGAGACAGAACAUCCAGGAAAUGCCAGUUGGCUCUUUAUUAGGGGAAGUCCCUUUAACAAUGACCAUGAGUUCUGUGAGUCUCUGGGAAGCCCCAGAUAGACCAAGAAAGAUGCGUGGAAGUCAAGGGAUCCAUCAAUACUACUCGCAACAUGGUGAUGGCCGGGCAAGGGGUCACAGUCUCUCUUCAGUCUCUUGCAGCAUCUGGAAGCCACUCAGUGGGUACAGUGGGGGUAGUAGCUGGUGUCAGCUGGGGACCUAAGGCCCCCUUGUGUGGAGAAAAGGGACCAUUUGAACUGUUUAUAACUCAUGUAUAGGGCUUUCUUUUGGAGUUAUCUUGGAGAUUAUGAAUUGACUUGAGAACCUUGAUGGCAUUUCAGAUUGCUUACAUAUGGGCUGGGGGAUGUAGCUCAGUGAUAGAAUGCUUGCUUAGCAUGCAUGGAUCCCUGUGUUAGAUCCUCAAGGUUGCUAAGAAGAAUUAGUUGCA